UGCUAGGUGGUGAUGGUCUGUUGACAUGA
rnacentral:sRNA from 1 species